GACGAAGGGGGCUAGCGUUGUCCGGAAUUACUGGGCGUAAAGCGCGUGUAGGCGGUUGUCCAAGUUGGAUGUGAAAGCCUUGAGCUUAACUCAAGAAAUGCAUUCAGGACUGGGUGACUAGAGGACCGGAGAGGAUAGUGGAAUUCCCAGUGUAGUGGUGAAAUACGUAGAGAUUGGGAAGAACACCAGUGGCGAAGGCGGCUAUCUGGACGGUUUCUGACGCUAAGACGCGAAAGCGUGGGGAGCAAACAGG
rnacentral:rRNA from 1 species